GGGCUUAACAUCCAGUGGAGGUACUCUGAUGGCAACCUGGCAGUCUUUGGGUGUAUUUGCUUUCAUCAAACCCUGCUCAGAUAUGGAAUCUACCAGGACCUUGCAUGAAGAAGCAGAUAAUCUGAGGAGUGGAAAGGUGGAAAAAUGCAAUUUUCUUUAUCUCACUGAUUCUCCACAUAUCUUUUAUAAUGACUAUAAUAUGUAAUACCUGCAGUCCUUUAAGCCUUUCAUGGCUUUGUGGAUGUUAAUUAAAUGAAUUCUCAC